AUGUUCGAAGGACGAAAUCUGAGGUUUACGAAGGAUUUUCGCAUGUGUUUUGUGAUGAAUCGACUCAGAUGCGGUUAUUUCAAAUUAGGUUGAAAGUUUUGUGAUAUUUGAAUUUGUAUUUUUGGUGAUGAUAGUUAGGUUAAUUUCAGAUAUGACAUAGUGAAAGGAUAAAUUGUUUUUGUAGUUUUGAUUUUACUUUGUUCUGUUAUAUUUUGAUCUUUUCCUUCAUUUUUGGGACUGAUAAGUGUCAUGGUUUUGUGAUAAUUAUGAUAUUUAGGUCAUUUUUGGGGAUGAUAAGUGUUGUAGUUCAAUGAAAAUUAUGAUAGUUAGGUCAAUUUUAGAUAUGGAAUAGUGAAAAGAUAGAUUGUUAUGUACUUUUGAUUUUAGUUUGUUCUGUGGGAUGUUUUGAUAUACUUUUUCAUUUUUCGGGAUGAUAAGUCUUGUGGUUAUAUGAUACUUAUGAUAGGUAGGUCAAUUUUAGACAUGGAAUAGUGAAAAGGAUAAAUUGAUUUUGCAGUUUUGAUUUUAGUUUGUUUUGUGAUAUUUUGGAUAUUUCAUCAUUAUUGGGACUGAUAAGUGUCAUGGUUAUAUGAUAAUCAUGAUAUUUAGGUUAGUUUUGGAUAUGUAAUAGUGAGAAGAUAAGAUGUUCUUACUGGUGAGUGUCAUGGUUAUAUGAUAAUUAUGAUAAUUACUUUUGUAUGAUAGAUUAUAUUUAUGUGAGGUGUAACAUUUGACCUUAAUUAAACACUCACAAAGCUGAUUGUUAUAGUUUUUAUAUGUAUGUGUUCAUGUAUUGGCAGGAUAGAAGGAUGUGCUAGCAUAAUUGGGUUAAAUUUAUUUAUGAUGGUAGGGCUAGAGGAAUUAAAAAAACUCAUACCGCUAUCAAGAGGCUUCUGGAGAAAGCUGGACUUGAAGGCUAUCAGGUAAGACGAGCUGCAAUGCAUUCUGUUGAAAGCUUUCCUACAUCCGAUGUUUUAGUUAGGAUUUACUUUUUUAAUUUUUUUAUGUUUACUUGUUUGUUUAUAUGUCACAUGCAGAUUAGUAAGACAAAGGUGUUUCUAAGGGCCGGACAGAUGGCAAAGUUUGAUGGUUGUCGGACUAAGGUCCUAAGUUAUACGACCUAGAUGGCUUGGAUGUUUCCCAAGUGUUCUAUGAUGCAUAAGCUGAGCCUGUGAGGCUAUGAUGCAUAAGCUGAGCCUGUGAGGCUAUGAUGCAUAAGCUGAGCCUGUGAGGCUAUGAUGCAUAAGCUGAGCCUGUGAGGCUAUGAUGCAUAAGCUGAGCCUGUCGACUCUAUGAUGCAUAAGCUGAGCUUGUGUUCUUAAUAUGUCUGAACUGAAACUGUUAAGGCUAUGAUGCAUAAGCUGAGCCUGUGAGGUUACAUAUGUGUUUCUUGUGCUUAAAACACUUGUACAUCAUGCUUUAAAGGUUGUUUAAGUUUAGUGGAAAAUUACUCUUGUACAUCAUGCUUUAAAGCGGGGUUACAUAACACAAUAGACUGUGAUGAUGAUUGUAUUUUGAGGGUACAUAGAAGAUCCGAGUAGCAUCUUGGCGGGGCAAUAUCCAGGUUGCAUAGUUCUCACUUUGCAACCGUGUGUUGCAGCCAUGGCUUUACCCGUAGUUGUGUUCAUCUCUCAAUUACAUGUCUGAGUCUUCCAGUUGUAAAAGUAUUAUCACAGAUUCACAGAUCUAAAAGUACAUGUCUGAAAGACAACUUGCUUGCUGCAGUCUGUAUAAACAUAAGCUGAGCUUGUGUUCUUAAUAUGUCUGAACUGAAAGUGUUUGAGGCUAUGAUGCAUAAGCUAAGCCUGUUAGGUUACAUAUAUGUUUCUUGUGCUUAAAACACGUGUACAUCAUGCUUUAAAGGUUGUUUAAGUUUAGUGGCAAAUUACUCUUGUUGUGUACUCCGGAUUUUUGUGUUCUUAAUCUGUCUGAACUGAAAGUGUUUAAGGCAGUGAUGCAAAAGCUUAGCUUGUGUUCUUAAUCUGUCUGAACUAAAAGUGUUGAGUCUAUGAUGCAUAAGCUGAGCUUGUGUUCUUAAUCUGUCUGAAGUAAAAGUGUUUUGAGGCUGUGAUGCAAAAACUGAGCCUGUGUAAUCUAUCUGAACUGAAAGUGUUUGAGGCUGUGAUGCAAAAACUGAGCCUGUGCAAGGUUCGCUCGGUCGAGCGAGACAUUUGUUCAGGUAUCCUUAUUUCAUGAUAAAAUGAUUAUGAAUAGCUGUGCAUAAACUAAUCGCAAGUUUGUUUGGUAUAUGCAGGGUAAUAGGGAACAGAGGUUGAACCUGUGGUUUGACGCAACAAAGAACUUCCGUACUUACACUAUUCUAUGACUACUGCAGUGACACCGGUCGGCUUGAAUCGAGCCCAAAUCAGUUUUCUGGAUUUGAAAUGAUAGCCAUUCAAGUUUAUAAUAAAAAGCAAUCAUGCUGUAGUGAACUACUUUUAAAAAAAACAGAUGUAUGUAUGUAUGCAUGUUCUGAUUAUAUAUUAGAAACCACCUACAUAUUUCUGAUGCUUGAAUGGGAACGACUAUUGGACCAACAAAAACAAGAUAAUUUCAUAUUUAUGAUGCUAGCUACCAAUAUGUAUUCAUAAUUGAUUAUCUUGUAUACACUUGUACGAAGUGUCAUGCACAGCAAAAGGUAAAGUUAUUCUUUGUGUUCAUUGCCACUCAAGUUCAUUGUUUGGGUCAACUAACGGGUCAAAAUAGGCUUUCGAACUCUAAAAAUGGAUCUUCGGAAUUAGUUAGUUGUAGCAAGAAAAUGGUUGGUUGGGUUAUGUGGUUAACUUUACUAGAUAUGCCAUCACUUCAUCUGUUAUAAAACACAAUAUUGACCCAUCGGUUGGCAGGUUUCAAAUCUUGACUUGACCUUUAGAGCAUAUGUAUUGGUAAAUAUCUGCCAACGUGCAGUAAGUAAUCAGACAGCGUUACCUUUCAACACUUAACAUUUUAAUGUUGUUUUUGUAGUUAUGUUUAAUACAAGUAUAAAUAGUUGGACAAAGGAGUGUUGUUGUGUUGGUCCAAACCGACAUGUUAUAGGUUGUAUUUUUUUUUAAUAAAGAUGGUCACUUUAUUAUAUUCGGCAAUGUAUAUGAUUUGAAUUACACUUUUUUUUAGAUUAUAUUCGGCAAUGUAUAUGAUUUAUAAUCAUUAACUUAUGAGUUUUUAAGAGAUUACAAUUUAAAUUACAUAAGGUACUAAUAGAUCCUACUUGACCCGGAUUAC
rnacentral:lncRNA from 1 species